rnacentral:rRNA from 1 species
GAUAAACGCUGGCGGCGCACAUAAGACAUGCAAGUCGAACGGAAGUCGUUUAAAAUGGAAAUAAAGAUUUAUCUGGAAAUAAAUUUUAAACAAUGGCUUUAGUGGCGGACUGGUGAGUAACACGUGAGCAACCUGCCUAUUAGAGGGGAAUAACAGCGAGAAAUCGUUGCUAAUACCGCAUAUGCCAUGAAAUUCGCAUGAAAAGAAUGGGAAAGGAGAAAUCCGCUAAUAGAUGGGCUCGCGCCUGAUUAGAUAGUUGGUGGGGUAAAGGCCUACCAAGUCGACGAUCAGUAGCCGGACUGAGAGGUUGAACGGCCACAUUGGGACUGAGAUACGGCCCAG